AAUUUCAGCCAUACCACCCCAGGCUGUGAUCUUGUCAGAUCUCAACAGCUAAACAGGGUCAGGGUGGGUCAGUGUUUGGAUGAGAAACCCCAGGGGAGACCCCUGGGUGCUGAAGGAA
ensembl:rRNA 5S_rRNA 5S ribosomal RNA